UGGGGAAUCCUGCACAAUGGAGGAAACUCUGAUGCAGCGACGCCGCGUGAGCGAUGAAGCCCUUCGGGGUGUAAAGCUCUUUCGACGGGAACGAUAAUGACGGUACCCGAAGAAGAAGCUGCGGCUAACUACGUGCCAGCAGCCGCGGUAAUACGUAGGCAGCAAGCGUUGUUCGGAAUUACUGGGCGUAAAGAGUGUGUAGGCGGUGUUCUAAGUCUGUUGUGAAAUCUCCCGGCUUAACUGGGAGGGUGCGGCGGAGACUGGAAUGCUAGAGUAUGGGAGAGGUAAGCGGAAUUCCUGGUGUAGCGGUGAAAUGCGUAGAUAUCAGGAGGAACACCUGUGGUGUAGACAGCUUACUGGACCAUGACUGACGCUGAGACACGAAAGCGUGGGUAGCAAACAGGAUUAGAUACCCUGGUAGUCCACGCCCUAAACGAUGCAUACUUGGUGUGAGCCAUUCAUUUGGUUCGUGCCGGAGCUAACGCGUUAAGUAUGCCGCCUGGGGAGUACGGUCGCAAGGC
rnacentral:rRNA from 1 species